GAAGACUAACAAGGAUUCCCCUAGUAACUGCGAGUGAAGCGGGAAAAGCUCAAAUUUAAAAUCUGUCAGUCUUUGGCUGUCCGAGUUGUAAUCUAGAGAAGUGUUAUCCGCGCUGGACCGUGUACAAGUCUCCUGGAAUGGAGCGUCAUAGAGGGUGAGAAUCCCGUCUUUGACACGGACUGCCAGGGCUUUGUGAUGCGCUCUCAAAGAGUCGAGUUGUUUGGGAAUGCAGCUCAAAAUGGGUGGUAAAUUCCAUCUAAAGCUAAAUAUUGGCGAGAGACCGAUAGCGAACAAGUACCGUGAGGGAAAGAUGAAAAGAACUUUGGAAAGAGAGUUAAACAGUACGUGAAAUUGCUGAAAGGGAAACGCUUGAAGUCAGUCGCGUUGACCAGGGAUCAACCCUUGCUUUUGCUUGGUGUACUUUCUGGUUGACGGGUCAGCAUCAAUUUUGACUAUUGGAAAAAGAUCAGGGGAAUGUGGCAUCUUUGGAUGUGUUAUAGCCUCUGGUUGUAUACAAUGGUUGGGAUUGAGGAACUCAGCACGCGCCGCAAGGCCGGGUUUUUAACCACGUACGUGCUUAGGAUGCUGGCAUAAUGGCUUUAAUCGACCCGUCUUGAAACACGGACCAAGGAGUCUAACAUGCCUGCAAGUGUUUGGGUGGAAAACCCGAGCGCGUAAUGAAAGUGAAAGUUGAGAUCCCUGUCGUGGGGAGCAUCGACGCCCGGACCAGAUCUUUUGUGACGGUUCCGCGGUAGAGCAUGUAUGUUGGGACCCGAAAGAUGGUGAACUAUGCCUGAAUAGGGUGAAGCCAGAGGAAACUCUGGUGGAGGCUCGUAGCGAUUCUGACGUGCAAAUCGAUCGUCAAAUUUGGGUAUAGGGGCGAAAGACUAAUCGAACCAUCUAGUAGCUGGUUCCUGCCGA
rnacentral:rRNA from 1 species